GCGAGCGUUAUCCGGAUUUACUGGGCGUAAAGCGUGUGUAGGCGGUUUGAUAAGUUGGAUGUGAAAGCUCCUGGCUUAACUGGGAGAGGUCGUUCAAAACUAUCAGACUAGAGAGUGGUAGAGGAAGGUGGAAUUCCGGGUGUAGUGGUGAAAUGCGUAGAUAUCCGGAGGAACACCAGUGGCGAAAGCGGCCUCCUGGCCCAUUUCUGACGCUCAGACACGAAAGCUAAGGUAGCAAACGGGAUUAGAGACCCCGGUAGUCUUAGCUGUAAACGAUGUGAACUUAGUGUCGGUGGGUUUAAAUCCAUCGGUACUGAAGCAAACGCGAUAAGUUCACCGCCUGGGGACUACGGCCGCAAGGUUAAAACUCAAAGGAAUUGACGGGGCCCCGCACAAGCAGCGGAGCGUGUGGUUUAAUUCGAUGCUACACGAAGAACCUUACCAGGGUUUGACAUGCAAGUGGUAGGAAACUGAAAAGUGACCGACCCUUCGGGGAGCUUGCACAGGUGCUGCAUGGCUGUCGUCAGCUCGUGUCGUGAGAUGUUCGGUUAAGUCCGCUAACGAGCGCAACCCUCGCUGUGUGUUAUACGUGUCACAUGGGACUGCCGGUCUUAAGCCGGAGGAAGGUGGGGAUGACGUCAAGUCAGCAUGGCCUUUAUAUCCUGGGCUACACACACGCUACAAUGGCCAACACAAUAGGUUGCUAAGCCGCGAGGUGGAGCCAAUCC
rnacentral:rRNA from 1 species